CUCCACGCACGGGGUCCCCUCCUCAGCCGGAGGGCACCCCAGUUUCACCCACAUGCAAGGGGAACCCUUGAAAACUUCAGGGCUAAGCCCCAUCUCACCUCCAUGCACGGGGUCCUCUCCUCAGCCGGAGGGCACCCCAGUUCUACUUGCAAACAAGGGGAACCCUUGAAAACUUCAGGGCUAAGCCCCAUCUCACCUCCACGCACGGGGUCCUCUCCUCAGCCGGAGGGCACCCCAGUUUGACCCGCAUGCAAGGGGAACCCUUGAAAACUUCAGGGCUAAGCCCCAUCUCACCUCC
rnacentral:lncRNA from 1 species